GAUUUUCUUUUUCAACAAAGGGGACGACUUGCAUGUGAGCUGCUACUACAUUGAUUCAAAUCUAAAUGAGUAUGCGAUAUCCUCUGCUCAGUUGUACUCCAACACUCCUGUAGAUUUUGAUUUCAAACUUAAAAGCCUUGCCCAAGGAUUCGAGACAUUGUCGAACUUUGCAGAACACCUUGCUGGCUCUGUGGACAUAGUUUUCUCUAUCAUACAUGGUAGAUUUGGUGAAGAUGGUUGAAUUCAGGUG